rnacentral:rRNA from 1 species
UACGUAGGGUGCAAGCGUUGUCCGGAAUUAUUGGGCGUAAAGCGCUCGUAGGCGGUUUGUCGCGUCUGCUGUGAAAACUCGGGGCUUAACUCCGGGCCUGCAGUGGGUACGGGCAGACUAGAGUGCGGUAGGGGAGACUGGAAUUCCUGGUGUAGCGGUGAAAUGCGCAGAUAUCAGGAGGAACACCGGUGGCGAAGGCGGGUCUCUGGGCCGUAACUGACGCUGAGGCGCGAAAGCUAGGGGAGCAAACGGG